UGGCCUUGACAUGUACCGAAUUUAGCAGAGAUGCUUAAGUGCUCGAAAGAGAACGGUAACAC
rnacentral:rRNA from 1 species